rnacentral:rRNA from 1 species
UGGGGAAUAUUGGACAAUGGGGGCAACCCUGAUCCAGCAAUGCCGCGUGUGUGAAGAAGGCCUUCGGGUUGUAAAGCACUUUAGUUGGGGAGGAAGAUUGGUAUUUUAAGAGAUAACCAAUUUGACUGUACCCAAAGAAUAAGCACCGGCUAACUCUGUGCCAGCAGCCGCGGUAAUACAGAGGGUGCGAGCGUUAAUCGGAAUUACUGGGCGUAAAGGGCGCGUAGGCGGUUAUUUAAGAUAGAUGUGAAAUCCCUGGGCUUAACCUAGGAACUGCAUCUGUGACUGGAUGACUGGAGUGCUGUAGAGGGUAGUGGAAUUUCCGGUGUAGCGGUGAAAUGCGUAGAUAUCGGAAGGAACACCAGUGGCGAAGGCGGCUACCUGGACAGACACUGACGCUGAGGCGCGAGAGCGUGGGGAGCAAACAGGAUUAGAUACCCCCGUAGUCC